UGGUGUUAAAAAUGGUGCAGAAGGUUGGAGAUAAUAUUGCACUAUUUUAGUGCAAAGCACCAAAAUGGUGCAAAAAAUAGUGCAUAGGGUUGGAGAUGGCCUAAGAGGCCUCCAGUCCGAAAAUGGGGCAGUUUCUCUCUCCACUUUCAGGCAAAGGUAAGUUCUUGCCCUUCCAUUGUUGAUUUGUUGUUUUCCUUCAAAAUAUUCAUGAGUUUUACCUUGUUUUUGAAGUUUUAAGCUUGAAUCCAAGAUUUUAAAGUUUGGAGACCGUUUCUCCUCAACUCCAAGCUUGGGUCGCAUCUACCUUAGAUCUUCAAGAGGUAAGCGUAGAUCCUUAUCUUUCCCUAUGUUUUAAGUAAGUUUUAAAAAGGGUUAAGGAUUAAAAAUGCAUAAAAUGGUUAGAUCUAAUGCUAUAGGGUUUGAGCUGUGUUUUUAAUGAAUGCUUGCUCUUGUGUUUUGUUGUUGUUUGUUGGGGUUUAGGCUAGUUUUUGUGCCCCUUAUGCUUGAUGAGUGAGUUUAUGCAUGUUUUGAGAUGUUGGGUAUGAGGUUUGGAGAGUUUUGGUGGCUGAGUGCAUAAGGCAGAAUCGGGCUUUGCCAUUCUGGAGAACCCAGGUUCGGCCGCCAAAGCAGGGUUCGGCCGCUGAACCUGCCUGUGGAGGCAGCCUUUGGCCGCCUAACCUGCCCCCGAAAGGAUGGACUUUUGGAUUUGUGAAAAGGUUAGGCCGCCGAACCUAUCACCGAAGGUUAGUGACUUUCAGAUCUGUGAAGGGUUUCGACUGCCGAACACGCCCCCGAAAGUCCCCGACUUUCGGAUCUGGAAGGGACCUUCGGCCGCCGAACCUGCCGCCGAAAGUCCCCUGCCCAGCCUUCCUUUGCUUGUUUCCUAUGCAUGUUUUGUUAUGUUUAAGGGGUUUUUUGGGAGAUGUUUAGGGUCUUGUUAGAGUUGUGUUUGGUCCCCCAUUUGAGUCCAUCUACGUAGGAUCGGACCUGGGAGACCGUAGAGGCCAGCAGUGAGUCAGCUGCUACAAUUUUAGUCAAGCGUCAGCCAGAGGUGAGUAGAACUGAACUAAUUUCUUGUUCUAAAGUAAUCAAACUUUUUGAGCAUGUUCAUGCAUCACGAAUGUUAUGUUAUAUAAUAGGUUGUAUGCAUUAGAAUUCACGAAAAUGAUGCAUAUUUUACUGUUGUUGAGGAUGGAUAUUGAAUGACCCACUAGCCCUCGAGCAGGUUAUGUUAUGACGGAUACGGAAGACCAGGGCUGCCCAUUCUACGCGCCUUGGCACCAUGUAAGAGAAAGACCAGGGCUGCCCAUUCUACGCCCCUGGCAUUUAUGGAUAUGCUAUGUUAUGUUUAAGAGGAAGUCUUGAGGAGCUCUGUCGAGGGCCGGGCAUUAUUUGGUAAAUGUGGAGGGUUACUGGUGACAAGUCCAUCUUGUUGGAAUUGUUUGUGCUGUGACGCAUUCCAUAUGAGCAUAUGUUUAUUAAAUUGUUUUUAUGUUCUGCUCACUAGGCUUUUGUAGCUUAUCCCUUUCCCCUAACCCCAGGUUUGCAGGGUCAAACAUAGCUCGAGAGAGUUGGCUUACGGCUAGUAUAGUUUUUGUAAUAGAAUAGUCGUGGACAUAUAAUGUAUAAUGGAUUAGAAUUGUGCUUUGCCCUAGUUUUUACCUUUGUAAUCCCUGUUGUUCAUGAUCUUUAUGUAAACGUUUUUAAUGAUGAGUUAUGUUUGAACCAAGCUUGAGGCAUGUGUUGGUUACCAUACUAGAGCAUUUGAUGAUGGGCUCUAGUGUGGGUUUUAUGUAUACAGUUUAUGAUGCAUGCACAGGUCAGGCCUUGGUUCGUGAAAUGUUUAAGUUUUAUGAAAAUGUAUGAUCAUGUAUGGGAUUUUAUCAGGUACACAGGAUAUAUAGUAGUCUUGCUAUGAGUUCCGGCGACCUUAAGUCGAUUUGAAUCCUAGCGCCGGUAGCGGUCUGGUUUCCGGGUCGUUACAACAUAUAUCAAUAUUUACUUCCUAUAUUAACAUAUUUACUUCCUAUAACCUAUAACACAACCAUUUCUUCUUUUUCAUAAAUAACUUGCACUCCAUUACUGAUGUUACAAAGUCUACUUGAUACUAGGCCUAAAGUGUGGAUGAGCCCUCGUUGAUACAUAGAUGGCAUCAGGUCCUCAUUCCACUGAUAUUUUAAUCAUUGCAUCCAAGCUAUAAAUCCUGAUAUUGUCCUCUUGAGCAGGCAUGUUACCAUACAUCCAUUCCCUAAACUGUAUGUGUUAUUGCUUAGAACUCGAUGUCUCAUAGCAACUUCCAUAUCUCCCCACAAACCAAGAAAAACAUAAUGUGAUUGUUGAUAUUUUCCCCUCUAGCCUCUGGAAGAUGAAAUCUUCAUUCAACAUUCCACUAAUAUCAUCUAAAAGCUCUUCAGACUAUGUAUUCACAUUUUAUGACCAAUUCCUUAUAAUAAAAAGCAUGUUUAAAUUUCAAUUUUCAUUAAAAAUAGCAACUUGAAAUAAAAUUAUUAUCUUUUAAAUAAAUCUCUCCCGUACAAACUCCCUCCAACAGGGGGAAAACUACAAAAGUAAUUAAGGGAAAGAUCUCCAGGCUCUCACUCGAGCGUCCCUGUUCAUCCCCUUUGAAUCCCACCAGUUUAUGUAACUCAAGAAAAAAAAAAAGGGAUGACUUUUCCUAGUCUUUAAUACCACAGAAAAAAAAUAAAGCAUUAAAACACCACAUAAAUGGAAUGUAUUGAAGACAACGAACAUGAUGCUUUUAGAAAAAAAAAAUAACAAUAAAAAUAAAUAAAAAUACAAGUCCAUUUGCAAAUACAAACUACAUAGACAAUGGCAAUGUGACCAUACCCCUCAGUUAUUCUAGCGGUGCUUUUUAGUGCACGCCAUGCAGUUAGCGCAGCAAAAGGAAUUGCACUUGCUUCCUAAAGGAGAAAUUUAUUUGAAAAAAGAAAAAGAUUAUUUUCUGUAGUGAAACAGGAGAGGGAGGAAAGUAGUCAUAAAUGUAGAAUGAACUAAAAAGAAUGCUGGAAAUAAAUACUUCACAGAUUGAUUACAAGGAAACAUAUAUUGUUACUGAGAAGCAGUGGAAAUACAAGUUAGGGGAUUUGGGUUAAAUUCCUACCAUUGAUUAAGGUAUGCAUGAGCACAAAUAUUUACAUUUAUAUAUGAUAAGUAGACAAAGAAAAGCACAAAGUAAGCACCAUGCCUGCGAUGACAAGCCUAUUUUGAGCAAGGAAAAUAGCUUUAUUACCAAAUUGCGCAUUAUAUGGUUGAAUAAUAAUACAAACAAUUUACCUAUAGAGACAAAGACAAUUAAACAAACAAGAAACCAAAAGAACGCUGCAUUUGUCACAAAGUAAUUGUAUACCUAAAAUCAACAGAGAUCAUAGUACAUACCACAUGUGUAACUGAUGCUGGUUUUGGGGUAAGCUCAUCUUCUGAAAGAAUUGCAUAGUCAGUAUAAGUACCUCUCACAGCAGUUGGAUGCAAUGCACCAAAAACUUCUUGCCCAACACUCAGUGAAUGCACUUUAGUUCCAACAGCUGUAACUUCACCACUAAUAUCACGACCCAAAAUGAGAGGUAGCAGAGGUUCAAAUAUGGAACGGCCAUAACCUGAUCGCAUCUGAAAGCAUUAAAAUUUGCAAAUAUUCAAUAUCUUAUUAUACUUAUCCAUUACAGACAUGUCAUACAUUUUCUUUCCCUCUUUUAUUCAAUUUUCUUCUUUGUUUUAUGAACAAUGAUAAUUCACUAAAGUAAGCUUAGUUAAGGGAAGAAGACGCUAGGAACAUGAUGACUCCUUGAGCGUUUACUUAAUAAUUUUUUUAAAAAAAAACUUCAGAAAAAAAAGGCCAUAAUUCCCUGACUUUCAUUUCCCAUGAGAGCUAGUUAAUAAAUAAUAGGAAUGAAAGAAUGAAAAUGAGUUAGCAGUGACUGGAACAAGACAAAAAGGCCUUGAGUUCUAUCUAUACCAUGUCGAAGAUAGGGAUCUACAAAAUCUAAAACAGUUGAACAUGAAUACAGUACGCUCUCUACACCCAAUAUCAACAUUUAUAUUAUCAUUUGCCUCAAUCACACAUAAAUUCAUCAAGCACAGGUCCUUCAUUAAAUAAAUGAACAAACAAACAAAAAGGAACAGAAUCAAACAAGUGUAUCCAUAACACUAGAUCAUUCCUUGUGAAUAGGAAGAAAUAACUCACUCUAGUAUCAAGGGGAUUUACAGAGACAGCACGAGUUCGAACAAGGACUUGAUUGGGCUUAAGCUGGGGGACCUCAACAUCGGAACAUAGCUCCAGCACCUCAGGCCCGCCGAAGCGAGGCAGAAGCACCGCCCUACAAGUGGUGGCGAAAAACCUAACAAAGCCAAACUGGAAGGAUUGGCAAUCACAGUUAACAGCAGCCUUUUUGAAGGAGUAAAGUUUGAAGAAUUGCAUUGCUGGUGUGUUAGUGUAGAGAGUGGAGGUAAAAUGCAUGUGUUUGUGUUCUAAAGUGUUUGGUUAGGGUUUUGGAAUGAAUAAAUGGAGAGCUAGGAGAGCGGAAAGGGGAGAACGUGUCCCUGCUACCAUCCGCAAAUUUGUUGGUUGAAUAAUGUUUUGUUCUGUAUUUAAGUACGCAACCAUAGAAAGGUAAUGUUGGGCGUUUUAAUCCACUCCAGACGGUUUUUUUUUUCCUCAAAUACACUACUAUCUACCUCUGUUUGUUUUUUUUUGUUUUUUUAAGUAAUAGAAAAUUUGUUUAGCAGAAGAUAAGGUUUUUAAAGUGAGAUUUUUGAAAGUGGUUGAACAUCUUUAAAAUUUUUAAUUUUAAUUAGUAGAUUGAUAAUACUUUCUCUUAAUUCUUUUUAAUUUUAAUGAGAUUUUUGAAAGUCUUUGAACAUCUUUAAAUGCCUUAAUUUUAAUUCUUUUUAUUUGAUCUCUAACUAGACCAAUUAGGUGUACAUUCAGUCGGUUCGGUUUAAAAUCGAACCGAAUCGAAUAAACCAAAAAUCAAAAUUUUAGUGUUUAUAAAAAUCGAAUCGAAUUGAUUUUGAUCAGAAAUCGAAUCGAACUGAAACGGUCUGAUUCGGUUCGAUUCGAUUCAAUUUGAUCGAUUUUAAUUUUUAAUAAUUUUUUUAUUUUUUACACUUUAUUUUUAAUAUUUUAAAAUUUAAUUAAAAUAUUUUAAUUUUAAUAUGAUUUAAUUUCUCUAUAUUAUUCAAAAAAUAUAUUAUUAUCACUAAUCAGUUCGGUUUGGUUUUUUUAGUUUUUUUCUCAUCAAAACCGAACCGAACCGAAAUAACUAAAAUUUCUGAAAUUAAAAAUCGAACCGAACCGAAAUAUAUAAAAAAUCAAAUCAAAUUUUUAAAUCAAUUCGAUUCGAUCAGUUUUUUUGAUUUGAACCGAAUAUUGGUCACCCAAGACCAAUCGUAAAAGGUAAAUUGAAGAUUUAUAACACUGUAUCCAAUGAAAACUUUAGAAAGUAAAGUAUGGAUUUAUAAAUAAUAGUCACAUUAAGAAAGGAAAGUUGUUAAAGGUUUUAAAGUCUUUUGCAUCAGAGUAAUUUUAGAGUAUUACGAUUAUAUAUAAUAAUAAAGAAUCAAUUGAAAGGAGGUAUAAAAAGAAUAGAUAUAAGUAGAAUUAAAUUAUAUAUUUUUAUUCAAAAUUUAAAUAAACUGAAUUUAAUUUUUAUGCCAAUUAAGUUAUGACCUAAUUAUAUAUUAUUUUAAUUAUAAUAAAAUAUUUUUAUUAAUAGAAUUUUAUUUUUAUAAUUUUUAAAAUUACUUACUAUUUUUAUAAUUUUUUAAGUUAAUUAAAAUAUUAAAUUUUUAGUUUUUGAAUUAAAAAAUAAUAUUUUAUUAUUAAAAAUAAUUAUAUAUAUAUAUAUAUCAGGACUUAUUAUGGUCCUUACAGAUAUAAAGGCUUAAUUAUUAAAAAAAUUAAAUUAAAUUUAUUUAGCUCUUAAAUCAAAAUCCUAAUGAUUUUGAGAUCCAGAGAUUACAUUGCAAUACUUGACUUAGGGCAACUCAAUUAAAAAAGAGUAAAUGAAUUGAGUUUGGCAGGUAGUAAAUAAGAGUGAUGAAACUGUAUGAUAUAUGACAAUAGAAAAAAUGUUCAGAAGAUGUCAUUUCUGAUGAUUUUGGCAAACAUUUUCAAUCCCCUCAUUAAUUGCGCGUAAUUAAUUAAUUAAUAUUUAACUAAUUUCAAUUAUUUAUUUUUGAUGUGCACAAUAUAUCAAAAUUAUAUCAUAUAAUAUAGAAAUUAAAAUAAAAAUGAAAUUUAAUAUUUUUAAAUAUUCAAUCCAAUUAAAUUAUAAUAGAACGAAUUUAAAUAAUUAUACUUGAGUUUGAGAUGAAUUUAAAUUUUAAAAAAUAAUAUUUAUCAUGAAUUUGAAUAGAAUUUCAAUUUUAUAUACAGCACAUUUACUAUUUAAAAUUAUUUAUAUAAAUAAUAAUUUUAAUAUAAAAAAUAUAUUUUAUAAUAAUAUUUAUAAUUUUUUAUAUAUUUUUAUUUAAAAAAUUAAAAUUUAAAUAUUUUUUAAAUAAAAAUUAUUAAUAAAAAUUUUUUUUUAUAAAUUAUUAAUUAAAAUAUAUAAAAUUAAAUAAAUUUAAAUUUAUUCGAAUAAUAAUAAUUAAAUUUAAAAUGAAUUGCGCCGAACUCCUUUUUUCAAUGUCUUCACAUUAGUCCUGCAUCCAACAAGAACAUUUCCCCGUUAAGCGUAAGACUCUGUUCCCGUGCCAGGCCGGAUAUCAAAUAAAUAAUUUAAAUUAAUUUUUAAUUAAAUUUAAAUUUAAAUAUUAUUAAUAUAAAUUAAAUUUAAAUUUAAAUAAUUUAAUUUUUAUAGUUAUCUACUCGUUUACAUCCCUAAACUAGUAGCUCAGUGGCUGGAUACUUAUCUAGCAAGAGAUUCAAUGGCUGAUAUUUGAUUAGGACCUCCAAAGAUAGUACAUAUUGAAAGGUUUAAAUUGUUAGUUUGUAGUUAGUACCUCAUAUGCGUGUCUUUAUCUUAAGGGAGCACAUUUUAUAUAUUAAUUUUGAUAAUUAUAAUAGAAUAUAGGAUGAAUUUAAAUUUAAAAAAAUAAUAUUUAUUGUGAGUUUAACUUUUAUGUAUUUACUAUUUAAAUUAUUUUAUAAAAAUAAUUAAUUUAAUAUAAGAAAAUAUAUUUUAUAAUAAUAUUUAUAAAUUUUUUUAUGUAUUUUUAUUUAAAAAAUUAAAAUUUAAAUAUUUUUUAAAAAUAUUAAAUUUUUUAAAUAAAAAUUAUUAAUAAAAAAUAUGUUUUAUAUAAAUUAUUAAUUAAUAUAUAUAAAAUUAAACUGAUUCAAAUUUAUUUAAAUAAUAAUUAUAAAUUUAAAUAAUUUAAAUUAAUUUUUAAUAUUGCUAAUAUAAAUGGUGAAGGGAUUAGGAAAACAGCCAUUGCGCUACUACCCUUGUACGGUGUGGACCGCCUCUAACGCCGAAGUAGCAGCAGCCUAACUCCUUCUCCCUCUCUUCAUCACCAACAUCUCCUGAAGACGGCGACGGCGACGACGACGAAGACUGUCACUACCACCGCCAUCUGCACCUUAAUCUCUAACAGCAGGUUCUCCCCUUUCCAAAACCUAGGAUUUAAUAACCCACCAAUGCCUGGAGAUUAAAGAGUAUUAAUGGACAAUUUAACAAGUGAAUUGUUAGUUCUCGUUAUAAUAGGGGAAAUAUUGCAUUUUUGUCCAUGACUAUUGCUAAUAAAUUUUUAGCACAUCUAUUGAUGAAAAUUAUGUCUGCGUGCUUUUUCAUUUUAGCUUUUGUUAGGAUCUCAUGAUAUAGUGAGUAUGUUUGUUGUUUGAGCUGCUCUGAGAAAGCAGGUUGAGUAUGAUAGUUUGAUAUUAAAUAUUGUUAUUUAGGAAUCAUUAAAAUUGAUUUUGUUUUGAUUACUAUGCUUGAAGAACUGAUAAGUCAUAAGAAAGACCACAAUCAAGUUGUGUUAGACUGACUUGUUAAUAAUGUUAAUAUACAGGGACUAAAUAAGAGGUUUUAUUUGAGGGUAAAAUUGGAUUUAUCUCUCAUUCUUCACCUAUUUUUAACGGUUCUUUGACACAGAGAAAAGAUUUAAUAAUGGCAAUACUUAGGACGAAAUAGUAAAUCUCCUAUAAAUAAAAUAAAACACAUUUUUGCUUAUUAUUUGUUUUAGUUUUUGAUUGCGAUGGAUAUUUAGAUUAUAUUUUGUCUGGUCUGAUUUCAGGCCAUGUGGAGAUCACCAGCCAUUUCUUCUCUUGUAAGUCUCUCUCUCUCUCUCUCUCUCUCUCUCUCGAUUAUUGUAUGUUUAGUUGUAUAGUUGGAGUUUAAUUUCUGAUACUGAAUUUGAGCUAGUUGAUGAUUUUACAGGUUGGCCAAUUAGCUCGAGCAGGUGAUGCUUGGAUAAGGAGUCCUAAUUGCAGCUACAAUACAGCGGUGCAAGCUCAAAUUUCUAAUAUAAAUGCAAUAAGAUCUACUUCAAUAUUAGAGGUGCUUUAACAAAUGCAUCACUAAACUACCUUAUUGUUUGGUUAUUAAAUUUGACAUAAAAUAACAGCGUGUUGGAAAGUUAAUGGGAUUAUGUUGAAGUCAAAAUUUGGUAUGUGAUAGAAUAUCAUGAGAUCCACUUAUAGUGAUUUCAUUGCAACCUUGGAGCUCGCAUGCACAAAGGGUUAUAGAAGAAUAUGUUGUAGAUUUUAUAGUAGUCAUUUGAUCUCUAUGUACUUUGGCAGUUUGAUAAACAGACAUUUUAAUGCAAAUCUGCGAGUGUUCUUGCAUUUUAACUAUUACAUAGAAAGCCCAAUUUUUGGAAGUUAAAUAUGAUACUUUUGACUCCCUGUGAGAAAUAGCUAGGAAUGAGCUUUUUAGCUUUCCUUGCAAGUUCCAAGUUAGAGAGUACAAAGAAUUUUUGGUGUAAAGCAUCUUCUUCUUAUUGGUGUCUUCCAUGCUGAAGUCAAAUGGAGAUCUUGAAGUCUUCUCCAAGAAUCAACCUGAGGAUACUCAUCAGCAUCAGCACAGUUUUCCUAACCACAUUGAAUAUUACUAGGGACAAUCAUGUUCUUUUCCUUUUUUUUUUUCUUUUCUAAAUAUGGUUUUCAAGUAAAUGACUUGAUGUUUGUUCCAAUGCAUAGCGUGCAUGAAUUUCAAUUCUUAAGUGAAAUUGGGUAAGAAAAAUCACAUUAUAAAUGCGUAAUUUAUGUUAUUGAUUUGGUUGUAACAUUCUAGAAUCAAUAUGAUCGCAAAGCUGCAUGUGAGAUUGCAGACCAGAAAGCUGGACGAGUGCAGAAAUUUCAGAUUGGGGAGAAUGUUUCCAGGAAUGAUAAGAUCAAAUUUCUUGUAAACACGGUAUGCAUAUGUGAAGUUUCAUAGUGUCCUUAUCUACUGAAAAUGGCGUGUUUGGAAAAUAAUUUGUGUAAGCAGAGUGCUAAUAAUUGUUUUAGCAUUUCAGCUCCCGUUACUCUUCAAUUCUGUGGUAUGACUUUAUGCAGUCGUUUGAAUGUAAUAUGCUUAUUGUAAAUGAAUACAUCAUUUUGUGGGAAAGCAGUCACAUUCUUCUAGGAAAUUAAUCUUUACGCCCUUAAGCUAUUCAUGCUCUCCCCAUGUAAUAUGCUUAUUGUAAAUGAAUACAUCAUUUGUGGCGGCAUUUCUGGUGACGGCACUUCAAGGAGGUGCCGAUCGAAAACCGGCCAGGCUGGUGCCUGGGUGGUGAGGUUAACUGACUUCCAGAAAACCUCCAAAUGAAGGUGGCAGAUCUGCCACUCACAGAUAGGCCAAGAUGCUUGGCUCUGAUACCAUGAAACAGUGAUGAUUAAAAGAAAGAGAGAAAGAGAUUUUGAGAGAAAUAUACUUGAUUAUGUCUCUUAAACCAAUUAGGGUAUAUAUAUUACUUGCAAGAAUAAAUUAAUUUCCUAAUCAUAUACCUAUCAUAUCACACAAUCAUAUCUCUAAUUGUGCACACAAUCACUACAAAUCAAGGCUAUUUAUAGAAAGUAUCUCAACAUUUAGCUUACCUUAGGUAUCAGAAAAUAUACCAAGUUUUAGAGUUCCUCUGUGACAUUGGCAUUUGGAUAAAAUUCAACUUUGUUCUUUCUCAUUCUUCAUAGGAAACAAGUCUGCCUAAAGUCUUCUAUUUAACUUGAAAGACCCCUCAAAAUUUAUAAAAUCUAUUUGUGGUUGCCUUUUGUGAUUUUCAUGGGUGUGUGCAUUUGAUUUUCAUGCAUAUUGUUUUUGUCACUGACAUUUCAUUUUUCACUCUACAUAGUAAUAUAUACAUGAUGUGCUGAUCUAACUCAAAUAGGUUGUGUGUGUGCAUUAUUAUCUUAUAGAUGAAAUUGGGUGAUGCAAAGUAUAUGCUAGGUUUUUGGAUUCAAUGAGCUCUUUGUACCCUUGUAUUAUUUGUAUAAUGAGGCAUUGACUGGUUCAAUUGUAAGAUUACUUCUGACUUACAAUUUAAUAUAUGAACAUUUACCUGGAAUUUUUAGUGUCUUUUCCCUACAAUGGGAGCCAAAAGAUUGAUCUUGGUAUUUCUUUUCCCAUACAAAUCCGACUGAUUGGGUAAGCUGAUGAGAACUUUAUCUGUGCAGCUUCUUGAUCUUGACAAUAGUAGAGAGGCUGUUUAUGGUACUCUUGAUGCCUGGGUUGCGUGGGAGCGAACAUUCCCUAUUGUGUCCCUUAAGAGCGUUUUGCUUACACUUGAAAAGGAACAGCAGUGGCACAGAGUUGUUCAGGUCUCUCUUUCUCUUCCUCUUCACUCCCCUUUCAAAAAAAAAAAAAAAGAGCAGCAAGCCUGAUCUUCCAGUCAAGCUGAAUAAUGCCAGAGGCACUCCACUGAGAAACACCUUGUUCUACAGUAGAUUAAAAGACAAAAGUUGUUUCAUUCAUGCGUUCCUCCUAUCUUCAGCAUCUUUUCUACCAUGAAACUUUCUUUUUAAAGAGAAAACCAAAAAGAAACAAAAGCAUUUAAAGCCUAAUGCAUUAUAUAUAUAUAUAUAUAUUUACAUAUAUAUUAGAGAGAGAGGGGGGUUAAUGACUAAUCCCAAAGUAAGAAAAUUUCUAAAUGGAAAGCUUCAAUUUUCUGAAAUAAAUCUGAUGAUAUUGAUAAUUAUAGUGACAUAACGAUAUUAACAUCAGUUACAUAACAUAAUAACAAAAAUAACGAUAUGAACAUCAGCUGUAUAACAUAAUAACAAAAAUAACUAUGAAAAUAACUUCUUAAAAGGGCUAAUCCCAAAGAGAAAUUAUAAAUAGACAGCUUCAAUUAUCUGAAUAAAAUUUGAUGAUAUUGACCUAACAAUGUAAACAUUAUCCAUGUAUCACAUAAAAAACAGUAAAAUAACUUACAGAAUGGCAGUUUAAGAUAACAUAAUGCAGUCCCUUUUGUUAUACUAUGCCCACUGGAUGUUGUUGUUGUUUUGUAAUUUUUUUCUUAUUUGUGGCUGUUUAUUAAUGUCCUCUAGGUAAUUAAAUGGAUGCUAAGCAAGGGGCAGGGAAAUACAAUGGGAACAUAUGGGCAGUUAUUGCAAGCCUUAGAUAAGGACCAUAGAGCUGAAGAAGCACACAUGUUUUGGUUGAAGAAAGUUGGUACAGAUCUUCACUCGGUCCCUUGGCAGUUAUGCAAGCGCAUGAUAUCCAUAUACUAUAGAAACAACAUGCUAGAGAGCCUCAUAAAGGUAUGUUUCCCAUGCUUUGUGUAAGUUGAAAUGGAUUAUCAUAUUGUGAUUUAGUUCUAUUGCUUAGAUGCUAAUCCAUUUUAUUUAUACCUAUCAUAAUUCCUAAUUUAGGAUCAAUUUAUUUUUCCUUUUAGAAUUGAAUACUUUAUUCUUUAGAGGUCUUUAUUUUUAAUAUCAUGUAUUAUUUAAACUCUCAUGAGCUUUCUGAAAGCUUGUUUGAUUACAUUAAUUCCACAAAAUUUUAUGGAAUUUAUUUAAAAUCUACACUUAAAAUGUUUGGUUUUUAAAAAAUUCCAUUCGGAAUUUUUACAUCAUUAAUUACAUGGAAUUGGUUAUAUUUAAGCCAAAUCCUGACAAUAUAUAUUUAAUAAUUAGGAAACUGUAUAUAAGAAUCCAUUCACAAACAAAAUUAGGAAACUGUAUAAAAGAAUCCAUUCACAAGCAAAUUUUAUUUAUGGAAUUCCCAUCUUCAUUUGAUCAGUGUGAUGUUAAAAUCAAAAUCCUUAAGAGUUAGUUUUGGAGCCCAAUGUCUUGAUUUAGGAUGAUCUUUUAGUCUAUAAAUACCUAGUUUAUAAUGCUUGUUCAAUUUUUUCAAUCAAUGAAAAUUCUUGUAAAGUUUGCUUCUUGAGUUGGAUGAUGCAACUCUUGUGAAGCAAAAUUCUUUAUUUAUUUUCAUCUAUUUUUGAUGGGUGUGGUUCCUAGUACCAAUCUGCAAGCUGUUCUAUCAUUCUAUGUGAAUCCAAUUUUACUUUUGGGGUGUAUACAUCUAUAAUGGUAUGGUCUUACCUUUGGGAUCUAAUUUGACUAAGGUUACUUUAUUGCUAACUUUCUAACCAUAGUUUUAGAAAGCUUUUAAAAUCUAGACUGAAUUUGGUUUUUUGUCAACUUUUUCAUAUAUUGCUGAUAUUUGCAGUGCAUGUAGUCUGUUUUGAUUAUAUUGAUCUCAAAACUUUCAGGCUCUAGGACGGUCCUUUGUCACUCCAACAUCCAGUUAACCUCAAUUCUUGUCUCAAGUCUUAACAGCAUUACAUUAUUGGAAAAGAUCGUGCACCAAGGGUUAUCCUUUUGUGUAGGAUACAGUUGUUUAGGGAAUAUCCUAAACCAAGUUUAUAAUAGAGUCCUAGGUUCAAAAAUUCUUAUGCUCUCCUUGAAUGGAGGAAAGAUUAGAUUAAUUUUCCUCUAAUGUGCCCAAAAUGCUGGAGCAUAAUUUCUUGUUGAUUUUCAAUGGUAAAACUGAGUAAUAAAAAUAAUUCAUUUCUUGACAUGCUUUUCGUGAAAAUCUUUCCCUUAGCAAGUUGUGGGGAAUCUAUGUAAAGAAUCCCAAAGUAUGAGGACUACUAAUAAAUUCCAAAUCUGAAAUAAGAAGAUUUGGUAAUAAUUUUAUAAUGUUGUAUUAAUUUGAGAAAUUGGUUGCAAAGUUUAGCCAUUUUGUCAAAAUGAAACAUAAUAUUUAGUAUUUAAUAAAAUCGAAAAAAUAGUUUCAAUACAAUGCUAGGAUUAUCCAAUAUGAUGAUUUUGUUACAGAAACAACAAUUGAUGUACAUGUAUAAGCAUACAAAUUUUUGUCCUCACGAUAUUCGUUUUUUGUUCAAAAGUUGCAUGUAAUAGAGGAAGGUUAAUCUUAUUGUAGCUGAAUUUGCAGUGUUUAGGUCUUUUAGGGCUGUUAUUGUGGACAGCUGCAUGUGAUAUACAUAUAAUUGUAAUUUUUAAUGGUUUGAAACCUUUUAUUAAGUUACUACCAUAAGUUGAAGUUGGAGUUAUUCACUUCUUAUUUCCUGAUAAAAUGAUAAGUUGAAAUUCUGUUGCACUGUACUAACUUUUGUUGUCUUGUCACUUGGAUUUCAUAGCUUUUCAAGAGCCUGGAAGCUUUUGAUCGCAAACCUCCAGAAAAAUCAAUUAUCCAGAAAGUGGCAGAUGCAUACAUGAUGCUAGGUAUGCUCGAAGAAAAAAAGCGUGCACUGCAAAAGUAUAAUUAUCUUUUCCAAGAAACAGAGAAAGGAUGCCUCAAGAAAUCUAGAAACACCUCAUCUAAGAAGAAGUCGGGUAAGCCCUUCUUAAGCAUGAUCAUUGAUAUGCCAAUUUCAUAUCACAAACAAAUCACAUAACUUAAACUGUCCUAGUCAUGCCAACAAACAAAGAAAUUGUCUAACAUGAAAUUCAUCAUUAAUUUGAGAACUAGGAUAGUGGAGAGCUUCAACAAAUCUAAAAGUUGACUAGCUGAAGUUUAACAGCAGCUACCUAAUUAAAUAUAUGAUGUAUCCUUUGGUUUGAGACAUGAGCAUAUACCUUACCUCAUUAAAUAUAUGCCAAGUCAAGUUCUGCCUGUGCUCAUGUCCAAAGCCGCAUAAAUAAUUUCCAUUUGUUAAGUUCCAUGUCCUUGUUAUCUAUAUAUUAGCUUUCGGGUUCUAGUGGAGCUUGGCAGUGUAUCUGUGUUGCUAUAUUCAUGAAGAAAAGGAGCUCUUUGACUCGAUUCAUUUUUUGCUUCUUUAGGGCACAGAAAACACACAUCAAAUUCAGAAGCCUGUAUGGAAAGCUUACAAUAACCAGAGUUAUCCCUUUUUCUCCUAUGCAUGAAUACCUCUUCCAUGGCUGAGCAUCUUUGCUUCUCAGUUGCCAUACCAUGAAACACUUUGAAUCUUUCAAUGUACUUCAAGCAUAGUUAGCCACUUGAAUACCAAUGCUUUGGGGCGUGCAUUAUAUUGCAAAGCAGCAAAGAUAUAUUGAUUCACUUAAAAGUUAUGCUACACCAAAUCCCAAGUUUUCUUGCUUCCAGGAUGAUGGUAACAGUUUGAUUUGUGGAAGAUUAUCCAAGGCUGGGAUCUUGUACGAGUGCUGGAUUGUUGUUGGUUGAUGGUUGUGUUUAUCGAGCACAUUUCUUCUUUAACACUCCUCUUUAAAAUGAUCAAAUGCUUUCAAGGUGCGAAGGAGAUGCGAUUUACAGGUAAUAUAAUCCACAGUGAUUCUCCUUGGUAUUAAAUCCGCCAUGUUCUUUGUUUUGGCUUAAAACUGCCAGCGACUGUUAGAGUAUUAUUGUGAAUUUGUUGUGUGACCUCCUUUCCUUUAUAUGUUCAGCUUCAUCAUUGUGUUUGGACUGUGAUUUGUCGACUUCUUGGGAAAUUCAAGGUGGAAAAAAAGAGAAAAAAGAACAGUACCUGUCUGUAUUUAUGUCUACUAAAAACAAUGAAAUGAUGAUUUUGCAUUAAUUUUGUUUUAUUUUUUUUCUUUUUAUUGUAAAAAUGUUUAGAAGCUAUUUUUCUACUUGGAUCGACAUUUUUAUUUUUUUGAUAAUAAAAUAUCAUUUCCAAUUACUUUUAAUUUAAGCAACAUAUUGAAGAUCAAGCCUUCUUUUCCAAUAGUGAAAAUGAUACUUCAUAGGUACGCUUGGUUAAUGUGUUAAUACCGUGAAGUAAAGCAAGACCUAUAAGGUGGCAAUACGUUACAACUUUUAUCUGGAAGAAGGUAUGAGCAAAAUGCAGAGAAUUCUCCAGCUUCCUGCUGCCUCUCUCCAUAGCCAGAAUAGGUGGAUUUUGCUUGGUCACCAGCCAGGUCCAAUGUGUUUAACGAUAAUCUCAAAAGAUAAGUAGUUCAUCCCAAAAUCCAGGAUUUUGUGUUGAUAGAUUAAGGAAUAUUUCGGCAACUGAGGAAAUCUCUAUAAGCGAGGGAAUUAUUGAAGAUCCUACAUGUUAUUCAAGUAGAGAAUGUUUAGAGCAAAUGAGUUUAGUAAUGAGGGAGGGACUUGUGCAUCGCUACAAAAAGUUAUGAUAGAGAUACGUGGUUAAGGAAAAUAUGUAACAGCUCUGAUACCACGUAGCUAGAAUGAUGCAUUAAAUCAUUGCUCAUACAUUUCUUCCACAUAUCAGCCAGCAAGUUUCGUGCAUGAGCUGGUGAUAGCCGCAUUGAGCAUCACAUCUUAAAGCACGAAGAAACCAAUUACCAGGUUGUAUCUUGAAUUAGCUACAUAAAAAAGAAAAAGAAAAAGAAAAAGAAAAAAGAAAGAAAGAAACAAAAAGUCUUGGCUUGUUUCUUGAGACACUAAGGUUGUAUUCAGCAUUUAUUUCAAGCUAAUAACAGUGAGCAAUUGCCAUUUGCAAUAGAGAUGGCAAUGUCUUUGGAGGUGUUCUUUUGGCAAACUGUGGAAAUGAAUAUAAUUAUAGUUCAGUUCCUUGUGUGUUUCAGCUGUUUCUGUUGUCAAGUCUCAAUGGCAAUGGAAGUAACCUCACAGUUUUGCAGAUGGUAUUGCAGAUUGCUUUGCAGAAGUAUAAGAAAAUAUCUAAUAGCACUGAAUAAUCCCUUUUUUUUUCUUUGAAUAACUAUUAACUAGAUAUAUUAUAAAUUAAAUGCCUCCUAUUCAGAAAACAUUAAAUUACUUACCAAAAAAAUUUAUUUUUGGUUAUUGCUAUUUAUCUAAAAAAUACAAAUCUACUAUAAAUUUAUCUAGUAAAAUAUAUGAAUCGUUCUAUAACUAGAGUUGUAUAUUCAUAGACAACAUAAAAUUAAGAAAUUAUAUUUUAAUUCUAAGAUAUUUAAAGUAAGUUUUAUCUUUUGCUAUUCUCAUUGAUUACCAAUAAUUUACAAUCAACUCUCUGGAUUUUGUUAAAAUUAAGGAUUUAAUAUUAAAUCAUUCAAUAAGAACAACUAUAUAUUUUAUGAAAUGAAAUAAAUUAAGAUAUUUUGUUGAAGAAACGUUAGUUAAUUAAGUACUUAAUUUAAUUAACAAUUAGAAACUAAUAUUAAUUAGCAGUUAGAAACUAAUAUAUUUUUAAAAAAUAAGAUGCUUUAAAAUUAAAAAUAUGAAAGUUAAUAGAAAACUAUAUAUAAAAAUAUUCAAUAAAAAUAUAUAUAACAAAUAAAAAUAAUAUCCCACACAUAUGAAAGUAGAAAGGAGGGAACAAUAAAAUUAUCAAAACUACCCAUUAUAGUUUAAUUUUAUUAUAAUAAAUAAAUAAAUUUAAUUGGUUAUUAAAACGAGAAAGGUGAAGAAGCAACCUCAUUACACGGAUUGAUCUCCCUACGACCACUAAGUCCUACAAAUUUAUCCCUAAACAACAAUAAAGGACAUUUAUCAAUUAAAUGUGAACCAUCAUAGGCUUCCUUGAGGAACACAGUACUUCUAGCACCUUUGUUGGUCAUAUAAAAUAUGCCAUGAUGCUUUAUCAAACAAAGCAGUAAUCUAGAUGGUAACAAAUACUCGGAAUGAAAUGCAUCCAAUUGUAUAGAAUUCAACCUCUUUUCCAUAGUUAAGCUAAGAAGUUCAUGAAGCACAGCCACAACACGUUUUCGUGCCUUUGGAUCAGCAACUUCAAAUCUCCUUGCAUUCAGAUAUGGAGAAGGGAAUUCCAGUCUAUGCCACCUCUCUAGUUCAUCAAGAUAAUUCGCAUUUGGCCUAAAACCAGUAGGAAAACACAUUUUAAAGGCAAAUGGACCCAAGAAAUUACCAUCCUUUGAUAUUCUAACCUUCUUCUUGGGCGGAUUGGAGAGAGUAACUCCUUCACUUGUUAAUCUUUCCUCGCGAACAGUGACUGCUAACGUAGAAUCCCAGUUCUCCAAAUGAAGAUAAGCUUUCCCACUGACAUCUUUCACUGAAAAAAAUUCUGGGUACUUUGGAAUCAAUGAUUUCUUGAAAUCUUGGGGCAAACCUAAUUCAUUCUCAAUGAAUUCAAUCUUUUCUAGUGGCAACCUACAAUCAACUGCCAUCAUUAACAACUUCCUCAAGUUCUUAACCAGAAUGGGUUCCAUUAACUCCCUAGCUUCAGCUUCCUCGUUGGCAACCUUCCUAGCCUUCUCAGUGAGUGUAACAAAAGGAGGCGCACGACUAUCAGCACCAACAUGGAAUAUUGAAGGAUACUUCUCAAUGACAGCCAUAAAGUUCCAUUUCUGGACAAAGCCAACUUGCUUCUCAAGGUUUCGUAGGAGGAGAUGUUGGUGUUUUUGUGAUUGAAUAAUGGCUUUAAGGUGUAAGAUAAGAGAUGGCUUCUUCUGUAAGUCCAUGACUCGAUCAAGCUCAUGGACUCUAUGGUAUAUCUUCUUUUUGGGUCUUCUUCCUCCACUUGAUUUUUGCUUCAGUGAUAUCAACAUUGCACUUGAUUUUUGAAAUGGAAAUGGGAAUGCAGAGACAUCUUUUUUGUAUAAAAGAAAGGAUUUCGAAGAUUGAUGGAAGCAAGAAAAAAUGGAUGUUCUAUGCAUGUUGGAGGGAAAAAAACAGGUUUCAGUGAGAGAUAAAAUCAAACAGUUGGAGUGCAGUAUGGCUAUGCCUUCAGAUGUGCUAAAAAAUUACUACAUAAGGUAAAAUAAAUACUAAGAAUUCCAACAGCCAGGCAUGACACUGGUUUUAGCAUAUAGCACUAGAAAUUGAGAUUUAAGAGAUCACCUCCUGAAAUCAACAGGAAUAGGAUGACCAUUGAGAAGGAAAGGGGCCGAUCAAAAAGGAAUAAAGAAUCCGUAGAAGUGAAACGCAGCAUUUUCUUUUGCUUGUGUUGUUCCUGUACUUUCGUGAGAAAUGGGCUUAAUAUAAAAAAGUUAACAUUUACUUAAAGAUCGAACCUCUAAAUCUGUCUGCCAUGAAGCACAAGAAAGAAUUGUUUCCCAUAUGACUGCUGAGUUGUCCAUGUGCAAGAUUAAAAUAUUUCAAUAAUGAUUUCAAUCUUUACAUAAAUCUGUUUCUUAAAUAUUAUUAGUUAAAAGUUCUAUUUCAGGAAAAACAAUUUUAAAUGUUUGGGUUAAUUUAUAAUUAUAAGAAAUUUUUUUCUAAAUCUUUAAUGAUGAAGAUUUUACAAUUUGUUACAGCCAACAAAUUAAAUUGUAUUUAAAAAAAUUAACGAUAUAUUAUAAUGUAGUCUUCAAAAUUUUAUUUAAUUAUUAAAAAAAUUCUUUAAAUAAAUGUUUUUAUUUCAACAUAUUUUUUUAGUCAUUUGCACUAUAAAAAUUUCAAAUAUUAAAAACUUUAAAGAUUAUAAUAUUUUAUUUAAUAUUCAAUUAAUUAAAUAUUUUAUUAUUUAAAAAUUUUAUAAAUUAAUAGAUCAUGUAAUUAUAUUUUAAAUGUUAUCUAGAAAAUAAAAUUGUUCAUUUUUAGAAUUAAAAGGUUAUAAAUUUAUUAAUAAAAAGAAAACUUUAGAAUCUUUAUUAUAAUACAUCACUUAAGUUUUUUAAUUCAAUUUAUUCCUCAUACUAUAUUUGUAAUAAAUUGCAAGAAUUUUUUUUUUCUUGAAAUAGGGGUUGGGGGAGUCGAACCUUAGACCUUUCAAGGCUACAGGAUGCACUUUCCACCAGACUAAGCCUUGGAGUGCAUAAAUUGCAAGAAUUUAAUUUUAUUAUUCAAUAGUUUAAAAUUUUAAUUAUAAAAAAUCAACAUAUUAGUUGCAAUUUUCCAUCGCAUAAAUGUGACGAGGAUAUGUUGUGGGAUUGAUAGUUUAUUAAUCUUUUUCUUCUUCACGCUCUCUAUUUACCGUUGGAAACUAUGAUAGCAGUCCAUAUUUAGAGGAUAAUAAUCACGUAUCAUGAAAAGGCACUUCUUCCAAACAAUUUCUCAUAAAGUCUGCUUUUCACGCGCAAAGAAUUGAGUGACUUAUUUAGACAGUCAAGGUAUGAGACUGUAUUUGAAAAGUUAAAGUUGCUAAGCUUAUACAACUUGGCAAGUCAAUGAUUAAUUGUGAAAGACGACAUAAAGAUUCUACUCUCAUUGUGUGUUGGGGUUAUGGAAGACAUAAACCAUCUUUUCAAAUAUUAUCAUAAAGCCAGAUAGAUAUGAGGUCUAUUCUGGGAUUCGAUUCCUUGCAAUUUCUAUAUACUAGAUCGAUAAAGGACUGAAUACUGGUGCAUCAGAUUUAUGUUCAUAACCAAAUUUGAUCUCUUCUUCCAAAAUUUGAUCUCUUCCUCCAACAAGUCUUAUGUGUAUUUUAUAUUUAUUGUGAAAUCAUGUCUAACUUUAUAGUUAUUGUGAAAAUGGAGAAAUGAUUGGACUUUUAAUGGUUCAAUCUUAUUUUUGAAUAAUAAAUUUGGUUAAAUUAAGAGUUAUUUGUGUUUGAAUAAUGCGACUUGAGAUGAGUGAUUUAUUGUUAAGAAUUAUUAGACUAUAUCGAUAUCAUGAAGUUUUUCAAAGGAGGAUUGGAUGAAAUUAAAUAUUGAUAGUGCUUUUAAAAAUAAUCCGAGUUAUGUAGGUGGUGGUGUUGUUUUAUGUGAUAGCAAAUAUUUUUUGUUAGAUAGAUUUACGAUCAAACUGAAGUUUUGUAAUUCAUUGCAAUUUGCAUAUAGCUUAGACACAUAAUAAUGCGUUGCAAUUUGCGUAUGGCUUGAAUGUAUGGCUUGAAUGUAUAAUAGUCCGCGAGUUCAGAUUAAAGUUAAUUUAACAUCAAUAUCACGUAUUUUAAGUUUAAUCUCUCAAAUAUAAUUUUUUGACUUUAACAGACUGAAAAAAGAUAUUAUUAUUGUGAAGCGAAUAAAAUAACCAAUGGAUUGACCAAUUUUAUCAUAGAAAACACCAUAUAGAGUAAUAACCUCUGUAUCAAAAAAAAAAAUCUAACAUAAAUGUCUAGACUUUUUCGUCUAGAAUAAGUACAAUAUUUAAAUAUUUAAAAUGAAUUUUCUUUUUCCUAAAGCUUUUCCUCCCUCCCAAUAGCAAGUUCAGUUUUGAAUGGAAGUUCCAAUCUUUAUCCGCAAGAAAUGAAAGAACGAAUAGGGGAAAAGGGAAUACCUUCCAAAUUAGCAACACAGAGUACACUCAACUCUAUGCUUCAGGCAGCGGGAAGGAAUACGGCAUCUUUGUAUAUCAAGGCAAAUAAAUGAAACUGCUAUCCCUAUGACAUUGUUUGUCAAAAGUAGAAAUUUUAACUAGGCUAAUGGUAAUAUUCAACAUAGGUACAACUUGUAGAAGAAAUAGGUUACUUAGGUGAAUGGAUAUUCAUACUGCCACUUUGGCUCACAUGCGCUUUCCACAAUCUUCCCAACAAACUUUCUGAAAAAUAUUUCUGAGUCAAGGAGGGGGUAAACCUCUUGCAAACAACCUCACUUCCAAGACCUAACCAACCAAAUGAACUAAAAAAAAAAUAAAAAAUAAGAAGGAAUAUACAGAAACAAAUAAACAGGAGAUAUCUUCACACCUCUACAUUGCAUUCCAACGUAGAUGAUGGUUAGUCAAAGCUUGACGUGCGGCUCCAUCUCCCCUGUAAGUAAUCCUCUAUUGAGACACCUUGUUCAGUGCUGCUCAUGGAAAGAGAAUCAUCAUCUAAAUCUAGCAACGCAAGAUUAAGAUGGGUUUGGAUAUUAGUAGGAAAUGCUUCCCCAUCCUCAGUAUCAACUUCUUCUGAUGCACUAACUUGUUGUCUCGCCCAAUCUGUUACUUCCUCAUCACCUUGAAGAAGCUUUAAAACCUGCGGACAACCAAAACAAAUCCAGAGGAAAUCAUGUCAGUCUAUAGAAAAGUGAAAUAUCAAACCUACAAUAAACACAAAAACAUAAAAACUACUAUGAGAAACUCGGUAAAAUAGAACUCACAAGGCUGAUUUGUGGCCGAAAUAUGGGAGAACAACUGAUGCAGAGGGUUGCAGCUAAAACCAUUCUCGCAAUCUGAUCAUCAUCAUACUCUGUUCUUAUAUUCGGAUCAAGUAAUUGGGAAACUUUACCACCCUCUAGAAUCGGCCUUGCCUGUAUCCCAGAACAAUCCCAUAUUAAAGAAAUAAAUAAAAUCUAUAUGAGUAGUAGACUUCCAGAACUUUCAGCUAGAAUUCCUCAAACAAUGACAGCAACAGAAUCUCACAAUUAGUGGAAGGAGAAAGAUGUUCCUGACAUGUCCUAAACAAGUGAUGGAGAACUCAUGACUUCCCUAUGUUCUCUAACAUGGGUUCAAAAACUCAAUUAUCCAAAUUCUUCUUGACACUAGAAAAGAGUUUUUCAAGCUCAAUUCAUUGUAAGAAAAAUAAAUAGAUAGGUAACUAAAUAAAACAAACCAUUCUACUGAGAAUUUGCACAUCAUGCCAUAAUUCAGAAAGGAGAAAUUGAAAGGUGGAAGUAGAAAAUAUUACCCACAUAACAAGACUCCCCUGGCCCUUUGGAUUUUCGUCAUCAAUUGGCAUCCUACCAGUAAGAAGCUCAAGAAGCACAACACCAAAUGCAAAGACAUCAACUUUGUCACUCAUUUUGCCAUGCAUGAUAUACUCAGGAGCCAAGUAACUGCGUAAAAGAGAGAACUAUUAAAUAUACAAGUGACUGAGAAAAUAGGUAGAGCUAUGAAAAACAAGCAAAUUACUCACCCAAAUGUUCCUGCAACAUCAGUGCAAGAUGUUGAAACCCAGCUUGCUAAUCCAAAAUCUGAUAGCUGGAGAAAGGAAAAUAUGAGCAUCAGAAGCAACAAAUAAAUAAACAAAGUUUUAAAUAACCUCAAGAGGUUGCACCUGUGGCUCAAAAUCAUCAGACAGAAGUAUGUUUGAAGAUUUCACAUCCCUGUGGAUCACAGGCUGAUCAUAGAGAUUGUGUAGGUAGUCAAGUGCCUCAGCUACACCCACAGCCACCUUAUAUCGCUCUUGCCAGCCAAAAGCAUUUCUGCCCUUCUUAUUACCUAAAUUAGAAAGUAGCAGUUAGAAAUUAGGAAUCAACCCUAAAGAAUGAGAAAACAAAAAUUUCAUCAAAUCGAAGACAGAAAAAGUCAUUUACCGUGAAGGUUCUCUUCUAGGCUUCCUCUUGACAAAAAAUCAUAAACCAAGAGUAAAUUGUUGUGCUCAAAACAGAAACCAAAUAAAGAGAUUAUGUUCUUAUGAUGCAAUUGUGUAAUGAUCUCAAUUUCUGCAACAAACUCUUUUAACGCAUCUUCAGAUGGCUUCAAAAUUUUCACUGCCAAUUCUUUGCCAUCAGGAAGACAACCUUUGUAAACAUGACUACUACCGCCUUUGCCAACCAUAUUUUCUGAAAAUUAUAAUUCAAUAGCAAAUUAGUGAAAUUGAAAAAAAAUCUGCCAAAAUCAAAAUUAAUGCCAUGAAAUUUGGAUCAAGAAAGCAAACCAGGCAAGAAGUUAGAAGUGGCUAAACAAAGUUCCUCAUAGCUGAACAGUCUACAUGAUGAUGAAUACUUCUCAUGUAGACCUUUCAACUCUUCAGGAAGGCCAUUUGAACCAUGGCAUGGUGAGACGGGCGACCAUGCAACCUUAUGGCCCACCAUUGGCACAAUUGCACCAUUCUCCCCUUCCAAAUUGGAAGAGUGGUCUUCUGUAAUGCUCAGAACAGUCUGCUUUUUAUCAGGAUACACUACUGAUGAAGAAUUCCAGCUUGGCAAUUUCAAUACACUUUUAACCACAGAAUUCUUUUUUACUCUAGAUUUCUCUGUGUGUCGAUGCUUGGGUAGAAAUAUCCAGCGAAGAAAUGACCAACCCUGUUUACUCUCCAGUGUAGAGUCAAAAUUUGACACACCCUUUCUUGUUUGAACUGGUACCAAGGCCAAUGAAUUAUCAACAUCACCAUCAUUAUGUGACUCAUCAAGUAAAUCAGUUCCAGAAGCAUCAGGCAAGUUGUUGGAUCUUUGCGAACGACUUUGACUUUCUUGCUUUAAUUUAUCUGCCACCACAAAAUCAGAUGCAUUUGUUAAAACUACUAUACUAUUGCUCUAAUAUAUGGGAAAAACAAUUCAUUCAAGCACAAAACAACAAAACUUAGCAUAUAUAUGAAAUCACAUGACAGAACCGAUCAUAAAAUGAGCUUUGUUCUUGGAUGAAAACAAAAACCAUAAAAAAAAUAAGAAAAAAAUAAAUAAAUAAAGAAACAGGACAGAUCAAAUCAACCUUGUAAAUGAGGGGUUGCUUCUCUUCGGAAUAUGAUUUUGCCAUUACUAACAGCAUAGACCGAGAAACUCUUUGACAAAUUUCUGGCGCAAUACUUAGCUACUGAAGUUGAGGAACUGAUUUUGUGAUGGGUCUUAGAAGUUCCCACGACAAUCUUAGCUGCACCACUUGAUUUUGCUUCUCUUACCAGAAUUUUCUUCGCUGAUGAACCUCUGCACACUUUUAGCUUCAAAUCUACCUGUAACGAUUAAUACAAUUCAAUCAUGCCACUCCUACUUCCUUCUUCCAUAACUAAAAAUGCAUAUGCAAAAAAGAUGAAAGAUACUUUCCCUCUAUUUACUGGUUAUAAAUAAUGGGAGAGAAGGGCUAAAAUAAGGAAAACGAUCACAAUAACAGGAUGAAUUAAAUCUUAAAAGAUAAAUUUGGCGAGGAAAAAAGCUGUGGUCAACUUAAGAUUAUAAUCAUGAAAUUGGUCUACAUCCCAUCAUUUUCUCAGGAAUCAAACAAGAGCUGGAGAGAGAAACCUGCUUCAAGUUGCAGAAACCUUCAUACACUGCCAACAAAGAAUCAAAUGUCUUUACUAGAGACAGAAGCGAUGUUGUGCCUCCUACAAAAUCUACAAGAAAAAUCCACAUAACAAAAUUAUUUGUUCAUUGAAAAAAAAAAACGAGAGAUAGAGAGGUAAAUGCGAGUGACGAUGAAGCCGGUAACCGUACCAGUAAUAGAUUCGAGAACGUGAACAGCAAUGACAUGGUCACCUGGCUUUGCCUCUUUCAUUAGCGCCCACGUAAGCAAUUCUCUGCUCUCCGCAUCGAACUUGACCCCUACCACCAGCACUUCUCCUCCCUCCUCACCGUCGCCUGCCAUAGCCACCGCCGCACCGACCGUCCUUUCUCUGAUAAGCUUCAUCUCUCUCUUUCUCUGUCUCUCUAAAGCGAAAAAGGGACAGAGAUGCGUUGUUUCAUUGGCAGGGUUGGGUCUGAGUUAGUGGCUUUUGUGCAUAUGGGGAAGCGAGAAAUCGAAUCAUUCCUAGCGAUCGUACAUUACCCACAGCGACUAAUAUUUCAUUCAUUUCCUCUUUUUAACUGUUUCAUGGAAAUAUUAUGCUGUUACCAGCUCUAUCAUGCUUGUUACAGUCUCAGCCAUUGGAUGCCUUUCGCGCUUCUGAUUUUGAUUCGAUGUGUCGAGAUGCUGCGUUUUGGAUUCCACAUGCAUUGCAGGACAGGAGCUGAUAGAGGACAAAACACGCAUGCCCAAACGAGGAGAAUAAACUUAGACCACUACGCUACUCAAUUUGAAGCUUCUCAUUUAUUGUGUUUUUUUUUAAUCUAAAUUACAAAAAAGUCCCACUAAAAUGUGAUUCUUUCAUUCAUUUUCUAUAUUCUAAAACAAUUAACAUGUGAUUCACUAAUACUUUUGAUGUCAACUAAAAAAUAUUAAUAUAUUUAUUUUGCAUUUUCUCUAAAUACAUUUAUCAUUUUGAGAAAAAAAUAAAAUUAUUAUUUUUUCUCUAGUGAGAUUUUUUUGUGCAAAAAGAUAAUUAUUAUCGUCAUUUAUGAAUUAUGAUGACUAAUUAAAUUUUUUUCCUUCUGUAAUAAAGUAGGUGAAUCAUUUCUCUUCUUUAUCCUUAUAGAUUUGUUGCGGGGGAUUAAUAGCACAUAAAUAUUAAUUAAUUAAGAAACCAUAAAUCUUCAUUACUCAUAUCAAAAAAUCAUUAAAAUUAAAAUAUUGGUUGUAUUUGACUGUAUUUUUUAUUUAAAUAAUAUUAUUUUUUAAAAUUUAUUAAUUAAAUUUUUAUAUCAAUAAAUUAUUUAAAAUUAAAAUACAUAAUAAACAAAUUAAAAGCUCUAUGAAUAAUAAGUGAAAUAGUUAUAAUAUUAUUAAAAAAACUUAUACUUUUGCGUUUGUUUAUUUUUUUUUUUUUAAAAAGAAUAGCAAAGACAUGAGAAAGAAAUAGUGUUUAAGAUGUGACAAAAGGAGAAUUAAUUGUUCUUUUUUGUCAAAUUCAUUUGGUUACAUAUAUUUGUCAAAUCUUUUAAUAUGAAAGUUGAACAAAAUCCAUUUGUUUGAUGACAAUGGACCCACAAAUAUCUUAGUGAUCUAAUGGAUGUAAUUAGUGAGGUUUAGAUUUUUUUUUUUUAUUUUAGAAAAAAAAUCAGAAAGUGAUUGUCAUAAAACUUUUUAAAAGCAUAUUUUUCUUUCUCUAAAUAAAAAAAUCUAAUAUCAAUUUAAUUUUUAUAUGAUAAUAAAUUAAUCAUUAUUGAAAUGUACGUAAAAUUUUUAUAUAAAUAUGUAAUGAAAAGCUUAUUUUUAUAUUUAAAAUUAUAAAAAAAUUUAUUUAAAAAGUUAUAAAUUCUAAUUAAAAUGGUAAAUUAUGGAUUAAAUACAUAAAUUAAUUUACGUAUUUAGACGUAACUUUUGUAACAAGAAAACACAUAAUGAAUG
rnacentral:lncRNA from 1 species